rnacentral:rRNA from 1 species
UACGGGGGGGGCAAGCGUUGUUCGGAAUUACUGGGCGUAAAGGGCUCGUAGGCGGCCAACUAAGUCAGACGUGAAAUCCCCAGGCUCAACCUGGGAACUGCGCCUGAUACUGGAUGGCUUGAAUCCGGGAGAGGGAUGCAGAAUUCCAGGUGUAGCGGUGAAAUGCGUAGAUAUCUGGAGGAAUACCGGUGGCGAAGGCGGCAUCCUGGACCGGCAUUGACGCUGAGGAGCGAAAGCCAGGGGAGCAAACGGG